rnacentral:sRNA from 1 species
CUUCAGUAGUAUUUAUUUACUCCCCACUCUGGUGAUCCUCUCUGGUUUCACGUCAGCAGAGUCUGAGAUGAUGAGGCUUCAGGGACUUUACCAUACUUGGGCAAGGGUUUCCUGACUUAAACUUUUUAGUUAUUGAGGACUCAGCUGAGUUCAUUAACUGACCAAAGUUUUGAUGUUUUUCACAAGCAAUUUUUUAGGAACUGAGCGUCUUUUAGUAAUGCACGAUGUCUGGGUCCAUAGUUAUUGUACUAAAUUAACCAUUCCCCAAACCCAUGAUUGCCUCGAAACAACAGUGCAGGGAGUCUGAGGUCUAGGUGGCCAUCCGCAUCGGCAUUUUGGCAUGACUGUGUUUAAUAUUCUCAUGGCCGGUUUUGUCCUCAUUUACAUAACAAAGGCAUGCUAUAUUUUUUAAAAGUCACUUUGUCAAAAUGACACUUGUAAAGAGCUUCAGGUUAAAGGAGUGUGAUCUAUGCAAUUUUGACCUUAAAAGUUGCCAGUUUGUCAUGUAAAAGGCCCAUGGCUCUCCCGUCUGCCCCACUGAGGAUGACUACCUGAGAGUCAGCCUUCUUCCAACUCAAAUAAACCCCACCCCCCAGUUUCAAUAUUAAAUCAUACUGUGGAUGCAAUGGAAUGGCAGCUUUUAAUGUCUUUUUAUAAACGUGCACAGAUGUAUGUCAUGAGUGCACUAUUGUGAUGUAACAAUACUGCCAUAGUGAUGAAGUGACUUUUUGCUAGUUUCUAUAGAAGAGAAAUCAUCCAAGGUCAGCAGGGAUUUGCAUUUGUGCUUGAUCCUUGAGAAUAGAACAUUUUAAGCAUGUUCGUAUGAAAUACGCAUUUGUCGUAAAGGAAAAUGCAGAAAUAUCUGAUUUACUAAAUACCUAAUAGUUUUUUUCAAUUGAAAGCAAAACCUAUCUGCGGUUUUCUUUUGGAAGUUUAUCCUGACCCAGAGUGACCUGCUCCUCACUGGUAACAAUGGAGGAGGAGAAGGAGAAGGGUCAGAGCUUUAAAAGUCUGCUAAGAAUUGUAGCUCAUGGAAAAUUGGCGUAGAAAAAGUGCUUGUGCUUCGCAGUGAGGUGUCAUUUUUACGAAGUAACUUUUUUUUAACAGAGCCACACUUUAAAGCUUCUGAAAAUAAGAACCAAACCUUGGUAAGCGAAAGUUUGCUUACUUAUCUUCACCUUCAUGGCCCAGUUAAUCACAAUCCAUUUGAAACAUCCAAAUAUCCCUGACCGUUUCAUACGAGGUGUUUUGGGGGGUGGCGACUUCAAGGUUGGGGGAGUAGGGAGUGACGUUUCUGUUUAUUUCAACCCUCAGUAUUGUUUGGCUUUAUCUGUGAUUUGCCAGUAUGGGGAUCACAUACUGGAGUUCGUUCAUUUCCGUGGAUCUUGUUUUUAAAAGUAAUCAUGUGCUUUCGUACAGGUCAACUACUGGGUUCACAUUAAACAUGAAUUUUCUUUGGAAACUUAUGUAAACUCCAUCUUUUUUGAGUGUACGCCUGUUUUAACUUAUGCUUAGUUUUUAAUUGUUAAAGGACUUCAGAAAUGCAGUGGCAAACUCAGCCCCAUCGCUCAGCUUCCAUCCUAUUUAACCAUCUCCACCACACCCAAAAAAAGCAAAUCCCAGACGUCAAAUAUAUCAUUUCAUCCAUAAAUACUUUUGCAUUAUAAACACCAUCUUAGUUUGUAGGAUUUAUUUUGACAUUCAAUUUUCCAUUUGGGUUUUUGUUUUCUCCUGGGGUUGGUAAUUUUUCUUCUGGGAGGGCUUCUACGUGGUGCGUGGCACUAGCACAUUCCAGCAGGCAGAGCCUCACCCGCCUCCCCUUUUUUUCCAGUGAUCUAGUGAAUGGCCUCGUGGCUCUCAUGAACAGCAACGUCAGCAGCCCGGUCAACCUGGGGAACCCAGAAGAACACACAAUCCUAGAAUUUGCUCAGUUAAUUAAAAACCUUGUUGGUAGCGGAAGUGAAAUUCAGUUUCUCUCCGAAGCCCAGGAUGACCCACAGAAAAGAAAACCAGACAUCAAAAAAGCGAAGCUGAUGCUGGGGUGGGAGCCCGUGGUCCCGCUGGAGGAAGGUUUAAACAAAGCAAUUCACUACUUCCGUAAAGAACUCGAGUACCAGGCAAAUAAUCAGUACAUCCCCAAACCAAAGCCUGCCAGAAUAAAGAAAGGACGGACUCGCCACAACUGAACUCCUCACUUUUAGGACACAAGACUACCAUUGUACACUUGAUGGGAUGUAUUUUUGGCUUUUUUUGUUGUUUAAAGAAAGACUUUAACAGGUGUCAUGAAGAACAAACUGGAAUUUCAUUCUGAAGCUUGCUUUAAUGAAAUGGAUGUGCCUAAAAGCUCCCCUCAAAAAACUGCAGAUUUUGCCUUGCACUUUUUGAAUCUCUCUUUUUAUGUAAAAUAGCGUAGAUGCAUCUCUGCGUAUUUUCAAGUUUUUUUAUCUUGCUGUGAGAGCAUAUGUUGUGACUGUCAUUGACAGUUUUAUUUACUGGUUUCUUUGUGAAGCUGAAAAGGAACAUUAAGCGGGACGAAAAAUGCCGAUUUUAUUUAUAAAAGUGGGUACUUAAUAAAUGAGUGGUUAUACUAUGCAUAAAGAAAAAUCCUAGCAGUAUUGUCAGGUGGUGGUGCACCGGCAUUGAUUUUAGGGCAGAUAAAAGAAAUCUGUGUGAGAGCUUUAUGUUUCUCUUUUAAUUCAGAGUUUUUCCAAGGUCUACUUUUGAGUUGCAAACUUGACUUUGAAAUAUUCCUGUUGGUCAUGAUCAAGGAUAUUUGAAAUCACUACUGUGUUUUGCUGCGUAUCUGGGGCGGGGGCAGGUGGGGGGGGACAAAGUUAACAUAUUCUUGGUUAACCAUGGUUAAAUAUGCUAUUUUAAUAAAAUAUUGAAACUCACCAGUC